AUACGGAGGGUGCAAGCGUUGUUCGGAAUUACUGGGCGUAAAGGGCGCGCAGGCGGUUUGGUAAGUCAGAUGUGAAAGUCCAGGGCUUAACCCUGGAAGUGCAUAUGAAACUGUCAGACUUGAGUAUCAGAGGGGAAAGUGGAAUUCCCGGUGUAGAGGUGAAAUUCGUAGAUAUCGGGAGGAAUACCGGUGGCGAAGGCGACUUUCUGGCUGAAUACUGACGCUGAGGCGCGAAAGCGUGGGGAGCAAACAGGAGUAGAUACCCUAGUAGUCC
rnacentral:rRNA from 1 species